UUUCAUGUGUCACAUACUGUAAAACGAUAUAAAAAUAAUGCGCCUGCAAGUAGACUGCAAACAACUGAACCCUUUUGAUUUGAUUGUGUGCACAUACACAUGUAGUAUACCACUGCUUUGAUCUACUUUUGAUAUCACGACGAGAUUGAAAUGAUAUCUGCAAUUGAAAUUAAAACCGUGUUCGUGUGUUUUAAUUUUCUGCGUCGCAAAAGAAUCUGAUUGGUUGAUUCAAGGUCAACUAGGUACAAUUAUCACGGCUCGAGGAACUCUAUAAAGCUGAGUCGAAAAACCGACGCUUCACUUUAGUUGGAGUGCUUUUACGAAACGGUUUUACUUUUUUCGAACAGUUUAAUUUCGGUGAAAAGUUUUAAGUGGAAUUAGUUCUGGUGAUUGUGAUACUCUUUCUGGAAAAGCACAAUCAAAGCUUUGAAGAAUAGUUUCCCCCAGAACAAGCAAAGGUUAUGCGAACCCUUUGCACGUGUCAGGUUGCCCAUUAACGUGGGUGCAAGUCUCGGGGCAGAAAAGCCGUACAUUUCGUCGUUCGACGCUGGGAAUGCUUCGUUGGUCAGACUGGUGGAUGAAAACCACGACGGGGUCGUGACGAACCGUUUCAACCGCCUUAGUCAACUCCAACGACUCGGAGACGCAUCUACUCCGCCCACCCAGUUGACCCCACACGUCCUUUUCGAAGCAAUCCCAGAGCUUGGAGGAAGUUCCGAGCUUUCGAGCACGCCAAAAGCUCGCCGGCUGCCCAGCCGAUUCAAACCUCGCUUGCCCGACCGAAGGAAGUGCGAGGAACGAGACAAAAGCCUGA